UUUAACAGAAAAUUUAAUGUGGAUAGGCAGAGAUAUGCCAUGUCUGACAGAUGAAAAGGGUCUAAGAGCAGCAACACCUACAUUGGGCUGGUGGUGCAGAAGAGGAGAAAUUUGUUUUCCACAGAAUGUCCACAGGGGCCAUCAAGAAAAAGCCACCACAUUUUGAGAAUUACCAAACUCUACAGCAGACCCACCCAAAAAAGCUUUCAUCGCUUGUUUAGCAUCCAAACUGCACAGCUGCUGCAGGGAUUGGCCCCAAACUCCUGAGUGCUGUGAGCGUGCCUUGUUUGUUCAGGUCUGAGCACCAGGUUUGCAUCUUCCCGUGGAAGCUGACAGGAAAAUUGGUCAGAAACAUAGAGGCAAAUCCAGGGUUAGUCUUGGAAACAUGAAUCAGGGAAGAAAACUAAAGCUGUUCUUCAAUUUGUUUUGGCACAAAUUAUUGUCGGUUUUAUCUGAUCUGCCCAAAACCUUGAUGAU